UUUUGCUGGAGCCUGCGACCGAGUGGGAGUGGAGUGGAGCGGCUGUGGUUGCCGACUCUUUCCUCUUCCCCACGGUCCAGUCAGCGGGUUAAUUAGGCCAUCGGCCCUCGAGCCGAGACUUGUCUCUUAUUUAGUUCUGGGGAGCGCCUCGUCGACAUGAGUGAUGUGGAGGAAAACAACUUCGAGGGCAGAUGAGCGGCCGCGUCUCUGUUGGAACCGGCGGCGUUGCGUCUAAAAAGGCGAAAGCCUUGAGGUUGAAGGUGGGACGAGCCUAAUGAAGUGGUUAAUGUUCGUGAAGAAAUUGAAGAGUUUUUUCCAAGAAUGUGGAAGAUAAAUCAAGAUAAAAGAAGGCUAAUGAAAAGUAUUAAAGAUCAGAAAAUUAAAAUUGAAUGGGGGAAAAAAUUGAACAGAAGAUUGGUCAGAUAGAAGCACUUGAAUAUUUUUUUAAGGCUAUUUUGAAUUGUUUGAAUUGGGGAAGAAUACACGAAGUAUGAAAAAUGAAAAACUCAAUGAAGAAUGAAGAGAAGUAGAAAGCAAGAGUGAAGUAGAAUUAAAAGAAUCUGGAAGAAUGAAUGGGUCCUAGGUUAAGUAAAUGAGUCUCGCUCUCAGUCAAAAUCUCCAACGGGAACUCCUGCUCGUGUAAAAUCGGAGAGCAGGUCAGGAUCUCGUAGUCCAUCAAGGGUUUCCAAACACUCUGAAUCCCAUUCUCGAUCAAGAUCAAAAUCCAGGUCGAGGUCAAGGAGACAUUCUCAUAGACGUUACACUCGAUCCAGAUCCCACUCUCACUCUCAUAGGAGACGAUCUCGAAGUAGAUCAUAUACACCAGAAUACCGGCGGCGAAGGAGCCGAAGCCAUUCUCCAA
rnacentral:lncRNA from 10 species